GUUUCCGUAGUGUAGUGGUCAUCACGUUUGCCUAACACGCAAAAGGUCCCCAGUUCGAAAUUGGGUGGAAACA
rnacentral:tRNA from 1 species